rnacentral:rRNA from 1 species
UACGGAGGGUGCAAGCGUUGUCCGGAUUUAUUGGGUUUAAAGGGUGCGUAGGCGGCUCCUUAAGUCAGCGGUGAAAGCCCGGGGCUCAACCCCGGAACCGCCAUUGAUACUGGUGGGCUUGAGUAUGGACGAGGUUGGCGGAAUUGAGGGUGUAGCGGUGAAAUGCUUAGAUACCCUCAAGAACACCGAUUGCGUAGGCAGCUAACUAGGCCAUAACUGACGCUGAGGCACGAAAGCGUGGGGAGCGAACAGG